rnacentral:lncRNA from 1 species
UGAGCAGUACCUUUCUUUGUGGAAGACACCCAGUGAGCACAGUGUUUUCCCUGCCUCUUGCAGAGGCUCUAGCCCUUUCAAAGGGAGAGCUGUGACCCAUGGUAGUGAUGCAUGAACGUGAUCUGUGAUAGGGACUUUGAAGGGUACUAGCCCUCUCUCUCAGGAGCUUUCAUUUCCCCUUCUGCACUUCAGUCUAUUAAAAUUACCGGAGAUCGUGUUCUGCUACAGAGAUGUCAAGUCCUCUUGUCUUUCUCACUCCUGAUGGAAUACUUGGAAGGUACCUAAGUGGAGACAAAUGUACAGAUAUACCUCUGGACUCUGAAUACGACUGCCUGUUACCAGCCAUGAAUAAUUCCCAGAUUCCUCUUCCUGUGCUCUCCCUAUAGACCACUCUAGGGUGUACAGACCUUUGAUAUGAGCUCCCAAGCCAGUAGCACCACCUGCUACCGCCUCACCUGCUGCUCUUUGUCUCUUGGCAUGAAAGGCCUGGCUAAGGUUACUGGCUCCAAGGACCUAACAGCUGCUGAACUGGAUUAUUAUUUGCAAGAAAAGGAGCUAGGGAAAUAGAGAGACUAGUCACUUACUUGGUGGUUUGGUGGUUUUUUUCCCUUUAAAUAGGGAAAAGUCAUGAGGGUAAAAGGAAAGAAAAGAAGCCUUGUUUGAAUUGCUGGUUUUGUGUCCUAUCCCUUCAUCCCUUUGGUGUAAUCAAUCUAUACAGCUUCUGCCAGCCCAAAGCUUGUUCUUAGUACCUGAUAAAAAAGAGUUUUUCUUCUAUGCCAACAGAGAAUACAGCUGACUGCAGUUAGUCAACAUUCUUCAUAAAAACAGAAAUAGAACACACCAUAGCAUUUUAUUAUGGACCUUGGCAAUGCUGUAUGUAGAAGACAAAGUCACAUCAAUCCUCACUCUUCCCCUGUUAACACACCCUCAAGUUGUAUUAGCUGUUUUUGCUAAGACUUUUGGAAGGCUCUCUGUGUUUGUAUUCAGCUUUUAUUUGAUCACAUUUACCAUAUCCCUGUCCAAGACACAUCCUGUGCCUGUCUCUAUUUCAAACCUCUUGUCAGCUUGGAACAAAACUCUUUGUUUCAUGGUGUUUGUCCUUCCACAUGGUUGUAUUAGAAAGCAUUUUGAUUGAGUGGCCUUAUGGCUAAGUAAUGCAGAUCCUGCCAUACCGGAGUGGUGGCAGAUACUCCCCUGGAGUCUGUAAGACAAUUUGCAGGACCUCACCUGGGAGCAUGGCACUGCUCCUGGGCACGGCUGUUGGAUGCAGAGCAUGAUUAUUAUUAUUUGCAUCGCUUUUUUUCCCUCUCUGUCAUCUUUUAUCUUCCUUAAAACAGAAUUAGUCCGAGUACCACAGUGUUCUUUUGAGACUUGGUGGAGCUGCUGUAAGAAUACUUCUUAUGGAACCAUUCAACAGCUUCUGCUUAAACUCUUCUUUCCUCUCUCCUCCCCAUACCUGUAGACUCUCACUUCUCUCUUUAGAGGUUUCCCUCUCACCCCUCGCAAAUACCCUUUGAG